UUUAGAGUCAGUAUAAAUAUUGAUGUGUACUCCUUUUGCAAGAGUGAGGGCUCAAGUUAAGGCAAUGAGUUCGGCUUGCUGAGAGGUAGUGGAGGGGGGAAGAAAGUAUAUGCAUCAGAUGUGAGGAAGAAAAUAGAUUUUGGAAGUUAUGACAACUGCAGAGAGUGAGUUGAGCAUAGUUUGUGAUUUUGAGGACCUCUAAAAGUAUUAAAGCAGUGGUACCUGCCACAUGCAGACAUGAGGGCUAGGCUAAAACAGUAACGUCAAGUUGUUUGGACAGAAAGGCUAAAGGGCGUGGUCCCAGCUCUUGUGUAAGAACUCCAACUGCACAGCCCUGCACUUCAGCUGUGUGUAGUGGAAAGGGAGUGAUAAGUUAGGGAGAGCUAGUGUGGGAGCUGUUUUUUAAGGAAUGGAUAGGGGAGUGGAGAAAGGAUUUAGGAUCUAUGGGGUCAGCUAGGUUUACCUAGAACAGAAUAAUGGGUUGUGGAGGGAGGUAUUGAGGAUAGGAGAGUAUAUGAGGUUUCACACCACAGGGUGGAUACGCAAAACAAUUUGGUUGAUAAGGCACAGAUCCUGACGUAACCUGUAAGACUUGUCCAGUUUCUGGACAGGUAAAAUGGGGGAAUUGUAAAGAGGGUUUAUAGGCUUUAAAAGGGCAUGCUGUAACAGGCAAGUGAUAACAAACUUUAAUCCUUUUAAAGUUUGCUGUGGGAUGGGGUAUUGGCAUUGAGUGGGAUAAGGGUUAUUAGGUUUUAAUGGGAUAGUAAUGGGUAUGUGACCAGUUGCCAGGGAGGGAGUAGAGGUGUCCCAUACCUGUGGAUUAAGGUAGGGAGAUACAAGGGGAGGAUUUGAAGGAGGCUUUGAACUGGGGAAAAGGGUGGCAAUGAGGUGUGGCUGUAGCCUAGUCAGGGAAGCAGAUAAUCUAGUUAAAAUGUCUUGGCCUAAUAAGGGAGCUGGGCAGGUGGAGAUAACUAAAAAGGAGUGCAUAAAAGAAUAUUGUCCAAGUUGGCACCAGAGUUGGGGAGUUUUGAGAGGUUUAGAAGCCUGGCUGUCAAUACGCACAACAGUUAUGGAGGCAAAGGAAACAGGCCCUUUAAAAGCAGGUAAUGUGCAGUGGGUUGUCUCCAUAUUGAUUAAGAAGAGGAAGGACUUACCCUCCACUGUAAGAGUUACCGAAAGCAUCUGUGAUGGUCCAGAAGGCUUCUGAGGCAAGUGGGCAGUGUCAGUCUUCAGCCACUGAGCCAAGAAGAUCUGGGAAGGAGUCAGUCAGAGAGCCUUGGGCCAGAGUUCCAGGGGCUCUGGGAGUGGCUGCCAGGUGAGUUGGACAGUCCGAUUUCCAGUGGGGUCCUGCACAUAUGGGACACAGCUUAGGAGGAAUCCCAGGCUGUGGGCAUUCCUUGGCCUAGUGGCCAGAUUUCCAGCACUUGAAACAAGAUACUGGGGGAGGAGGUCCUGAAGAAAUGCCUGACUGCUGUGGCUUAGGCGUUUUGAAGUUCUUGUGUGCUGGAGAUGUGGCUGGAGUUUCUCUCACAGCAGCGGCAAAGACUACACUGAGGAGUAUGACAAGUUUUCAGCUUGAGAAGGGCUUGCAUUCUGUAGGAGAAAUGAACAAACAGCAUUAAUGUUGAUGAUGCAACAUGGAACAAGUGCUAUGACAGAGAUUAAAAAACAAGUGCUUGUUCAUUUACUGGAAAGACAGAAGACCGAUUCAGCCUGGAAAGAAAAAUCCCUGAGAAGAUGGCUUUCAGAUGGAAAGGACUUGCCUUGUCUUCAAUGAGACUUUGGACUGUGGACUUUUGAGUUAAUGCAAAAAUGAGUUAAGUCUUUGGGGGACUGUUGGAAAGGCAUGAUUGGUUUUGAAAUGUGAAGACAUGAAAUUUUGGAGGGGCCGGGGUAGAAUGAUAUGAUUUGGCUGUGUCCCCACCCAAAUCUCGUCUUGAAUUCCCACGUGUUGUGGGAAGGAUCCAGUGGAAGGUAAUUGAGUCAUGGGGGCAGGUUUUCCCCAUGCUGUUCUCAUUGAUAUUGAGUCUCAGUAGAUCCGAUGGUUUUAAAAAUGGGAGUUUCCCUGCCCAAGCCCUCUUCUCUUAUCUGCUUCCAUGUGAGACAUGCCUUUCACCUUCCCUCAUGAUUGUGAGGUCUUCCCACACACGUGGAACUGUAAGUCCAUUAAAUCUCUUUCUUUUGUAAAUUGCCCAGUCUCAGGUAUGUAUUUAUCAGCAGUGUGAAAACAACUAAUACACUACCUCAUAAGGUGGUGCAAUGAUAAAAUGAUAUAUGAAAACACUUUUAAUAGCAUUUGACACAUGGUAAGUGUUCUGUAAGGAUUAGCUACAAUUUUUACUGUUAAUAAUUAGUUUCUUCUCACUGGCUUCUACCUCCCUCAAUUGAUGAGUGCUUAGGAGAGAUGGCAUGACUAGAGCACAGGCCUAAUGGAGCAGACCACCCAAAGCUACCAUGCAUGCAAGGAAACUGAACUUAAUAGAGCUUUGACUUUAAUCUGAGAAUGCUCAGUGUAGUGCUCUGUUUGGUCCUUCCAGAACACUGAAUGCACCUUGAGGAUGGUAUUUGGUUUUCAUAAUCUCUUUAUCCUAUUAUUUUUGCAGUGGUAUAAAUUAAGUCUGCAUUCUCAGGAAAUUCUCACUGCCCUCCAUCAGAUAUUUGUCAGAACUUAAGAGAGUCCUGAUUGAAGCCUUUUAAAUUCAACUUAAAGUUUGCUCCUAAGACUGGGCAAGUGUUCCUGGGGCUGAGUGUAUAAGGGGAGAGUUGGUGGAAGCCAGUGUGGUAAUCUUUUCAUGAAAGAGUCAUAUCAGCUUAUAUAUAUAUUCCAGUGAUUGGUGAUGUAGGGGGUGGCUAUCAGAUCCUUUCCUGAAAAUAAAUUUGGCUAUGAGUGGGGAAUAGGAUUUUAAAGAUAGCAUAUUUUAAUUAUGUUUUAAAAUCAAUUUCGCAUUCACAAGUUACAUAUGAAUAGAUUAUACUUGUGUAAAAAAAAAAACAAUUUCCCUCAAUAACUACCUGAUCUCAAUGUAUUUCAUGCCAGUUCUGAGAUUUCCUGAGAUAAAGACCCACUGUUCUCAGUUCGUGUGUGUGUAUAUGUGUAUCUGUAAAUUAUAUGUAUUAUUUGAUGCAUGUGUAUACAUUAAAAAAAUAAGUAUAUCAUAUUGAACCUAUAGUUCUAUAAUGGUUUUAUAUUUCCCCCUAAGCAUGUUAGUAUAUGUGGUAUAUUUUUGUUAGUAUAGAUAAAUGGCAUAUCUUACUUUGGCUAAACCACUGGUCACUUAAUGUAUUGAUAAUAAACUUUUUCAUUAUUAAAAACAAUGCUGCAAUUAAUAUCUCUGAUACAUAAUAGCUCCCUGGGCACAUUAUGUUAGAAAGUCAGACACAGAGAAG
rnacentral:lncRNA from 10 species